rnacentral:rRNA from 1 species
GAUGAACGCUGGCGGCGUGCCUAACACAUGCAAGUCGAGCGAACAGAUGAGGCGCUUGCUCCUCUGACGUUAGCGGCGGACGGGUGAGUCACACGAGGAUAACCGACCUAUAAGACUGGGAUAACGUCGGGAAACCGGAGCUAAUACCGGAUAAUAUAUUGAACCGCAUGGUUCAUUAGUGAAAGACGGUUUUGAUGUCACUUAGAGAUGGAUCCGCGCCGCAUUAGCUAGUUGGUAAGGUAACGGCUUACCAAGGCAACGAUGCGUAGCCGACCUGAGAGGGUGAUCGGCCACACUGGAACUGAGACACGGUCCAGACUCCUACGGGAGGCAGCAGUAGGGAAUCUUCCGCAAUGGGCGAAAGCCUGACGGAGCAACGCCGCGUGAGUGAUGAAGGUCUUCGGAUCGUAAAACUCUGUUAUUAGGGAAGAACAAAUGUGUAAGUAACUAUGCACGUCUUGACGGUACCUAAUCAGAAAGCCACGGCUAACUACGUG